rnacentral:lncRNA from 1 species
AUGGAUGAUGGAAUCCAUGUGAUUAGUAUUUGGGAUUGGCAUCUAGUUUGUUUGGUUUGUGGAGUUAGUUAAUAUUAAGUCCAUCGAGCCGAGCCUGAUGAUUGUUUUCAAGAACGGAGAUUCGAAUGGUGCUUUUUGUAGAAGCUUGACUUUAUGUUAGGCUCCAACAGCACUGUAUGUGACAGAUCCUACAGAACUUCAAAUGAAGGCUUUGUUAAAUCUUUUCCACCAACUGUUGUAGAAAAGAAGAAAUAAAAGUUCUUGCAUGUUUCUAAUUCUGGAAUUUACAUUAGCAAUGUCUUAUCCCUAAAACUAGUUCUAUAAUUCAUGGUUUCAAGCACAAUUUUAUUAAGUAGUUUCACAAGCUCAGAUGUAUAAGAUAUAAUGAUAAUACUCG